rnacentral:lncRNA from 1 species
GCAGUAUCAGCUGGCAGUCUGCAGAGUCCAAGACCCACAGCAGAGUCGAGUCAAAAAGAAUGGCUCUGGAGCUGAGAGAUGCUCCUUCAGUAGCCAGCACAAGGAGCAAAACUUGCUUUUCCCAUUGGCUUGGCUUCCUGUAUCACCUCCAGAAAGUAGAGAUUCCACAAGUUUCCUGAUUCUUGAGCUUGCUUGAUCUAGAGAAGAUGAAGAAAUGGCCCACACCACAGCAUGCUCUGGAGAUCAUUAAUCAAAAGGUUGACAGUGAGCUGUCUUGGAGGAUAGGCCCAUGUUGGAUUCUCUCUCUUCACUGGCACCUGUCGGCCUCCUGGUCUCCUUCCACCUUUGAUGUUAACUGGCUAAUGCUGUGGUUCGUUUCCUGUUAUUUGCAACUUUGGAAUUAAAUGCAUAAAUGAAGUCAAAGCAAAUGAAAGGCCAAGGAAAUGAAAGUGCCAAUGUUCCACAAAGCAGAAAAAGUACCUAAUUUGAUGAAGAAAUCAUGCUGAUUCACUGGAAGAAAAUGGUCUUCAGCGUAAUCAACUAAACAUUUGUGUGUAAGUGUUUUUAAAAUUAAGUUGCAUUAAAAAAUCAAAUUCC